GAUGAACGCUAGCGGCAGGCCUAAUACAUGCAAGUCGAACGGUGUAGCAAUACACAGUGGCGCACGGGUGCGUAACACGUAUGCAACCUACCUUACAUUGGGGGAUAGCCUUUCGAAAGGGAGAUUAAUACCGCAUAAGACAGUAACUGGGCAUCCAGUAGCUGUUAAAGAUUUAUCGAUGUAAGCUGGGCAUGCGUCCAAUUAGUUAGUUGGCGAGGUAAUGGCUCACCAAGACGAUGAUUGGUAGGGGAACUGAGAGGUCAAUCCCCCACACUGGCACUGAGAUACGGGCCAGACUCCUACGGGAGGCAGCAGUAGGGAAUAUUGGGCAAUGGGCGCAAGCCUGACCCAGCCAUGCCGCGUGCAGGAAGAAGGCGUUAUGCGUUGUAAACUGCUUUUAUACAGGAAGAAACGACCCUUGCGAGGGGCAUUGACGGUACUGUAUGAAUAAGCACCGGCUAACUCCGUGCCAGCCGCCGCCGUAACAC
rnacentral:rRNA from 1 species